ensembl:lncRNA
UGCCCCCCUGGUAGCUACGGUAACCGCUCUGGGUUGACAGAUGUAUUGGAUUGCACUCUGUGUGACCAGGGGAUGUUUUGCAGAGGCUCAGGGAACGAGUCCCCCACCGGCCCGUGUGACUCCGGCUUCCUGUGCCUCGGUGGAGCAUCCGCUCCUGCCCCCACCGAUGGGGUCACCGGCGCUCCCUGCCCCCGGGGGUUCUACUGCCCAGCGGGGAGUUACUCCGCAGUGCCCUGUCCAAAAGGCACCUUCAGUGAGAGGAGCGGGCUCGGCGAGCAGUCUGAGUGCCAGCGAUGUUCUCCAGGGUUCUACUGCGCGGAACCGGGGCUGACUGCCGUGAGCGGACCCUGCCUGUCAGGCUUCUUCUGCCUUGAGGGCUCUCCAGACGUGACCCCGGUGGCAGAGGGGUACGGGGACCUGUGCCCGCCAGGCCACUACUGUGAGAACGGCACCGCAGCGCCCGCCGCCUGCCCAGCGGGCACACACCGACCCCAGACGGGCGGGCGUGGGAGGCAGGACUGUGUGACCUGCCCUGCAGGCUGGUUCCAGGACCACACAGGGCAGACGGAAUGUAAACCCUGCCCUGCAAGGUUCUACUGCCCCUCCCCCCAUCAGGAGGCUGGUGGGGUAGUUACCCCUGUGACCUGCCCGCAGGGGUAUUUCUGCCCUGGCGAUGCCCCUCUGGACAGCCCUGUGCCCUGCCCCAGGGGCACUUAUAGCAGUACUGAGGGCCUGAGCACUGCAGACGAGUGCUGGGUUUGCCCCGCGGGGCAUUUCUGCGGAUCGGACGGCCUCACCCAGCCCACGGGGCCUUGCGCGGCAGGCUUCCUCUGCCACAUCAGGGCGGUGGUGCCCAACCCUGUGGACGACAGCACCGGCUCCCUCUGCCCCCCUGGGGCAUUCUGCCAGGCGGGGAUCAUAGCAGGAGAAUGUUCUCCAGGAUACUACUGCAGUGGGGGUUCCACCAGCCCUGAGGGGGUUCUGUGCCCUGCAGGGUUCUACUGCCCCAAGGGUUCCCACACACCCUUCCCCUGUGAGGCCGGAACGUUCUCCUCUGCAGCGGGAAACAGUCACCGUGGCAACUGCACAUCAUGUCUGGCAGGAUUCUUCUGUCAGGGUGAGGGGGUAGUGCAGCCCGAGAUUUGCCCCUCGGGUCACUUCUGCCCCCCUGGCACGUCCUUGGCCCAGCAGUUCCCCUGCCCUCCAGGAACCCUACUUCCCCUGCCAGGGGCAACAAGCCCAGAGGAUUGCCUGCUUUGCCCCGCAGGCUUGUUCUGUGCUCUGCCGGGUCUAUCUGAGCCCACUGGCCCGUGUCAAGAGGGGUUCCACUGUUCCCCCGGAUCCAGCAGCCCAAACGGAACCGGAAUCACCAUGCAGAUGGAGUCCGAUGAAGGCUCAAUCUGCCCCACUGGAUUCUACUGCCCUGUUGGCACAUCCUACCCCGUCCCCUGCCCACCUGGUACCUUUUCCAGCACCCCGGGGCUGACUCGGGCCGAGCAGUGCCAGCCUUGCCCUGGGGGGCUGUGGUGUGGCCGCGCGGGCAUGACCCAGAUCGCUGAUGCUCUGCUCUGUGAGGGAAGAUAUGUCUGUGUGGGCGGCAGUGUGAGCCCCCGCCCUGGCGAUGGCAUUAUGGGAUACCUGUGUCCUCCAGGGCACAGCUGCCCAGCUGGCUCAGCAUUGGAGGUGCCCUGUGAGGCGGGCACGUACAGCUCCAGCUCGGGCGCUGCCAACUGCAGCCUGUGCCCGGCUGGCACCAUGUGCCCCUCCGAUGGCAUGCAGGAGCCGGCCCUGUGCCCGCUGGGUCAUUUCUGCCCCGUGGGCACGGCCUUGCCCCUGCCCUGCCCCACAGGCACUCUGGGGCAGAUGGCGGGUGCCCCAUCCCAGGCCUCCUGCUCCCCCUGCCCCACUGGACACUACUGUAACUCCCCAGGAGCCUCUCAGCCUCAAGGCCGAUGUGAGCAGGGGUACUUCUGCCAGGGUGGGGCCAGCAGUCUUGCCCCCCAGCCCUCCGCUGAGCUGCCCCAGAACGGACCCUGCCCAACUGGGCACUACUGCCCCCCUGGCACCCUCUCGCCACUACCCUGCCCAACAGGCACCGUCCGCAACCUCACCGGGGGCGUGUCCAUAGAGAGCUGCUUCUCCUGCCCCGGGGGGUAUUACUGUGACGGGGAGGGGCUGGACACCCCCAGCGGACCCUGUGACGCCGGGUUCUACUGCCCCUCGGACUCCUCCUCCACCACCCCCCACACAUUUAUGUGCACCAAGGGUCACUUCUGCCCCCAGGGCUCCCCCCUGCCCCUGCCCUGCCCCACGGGCCAGUACCAGCCCACCGCUGGCUCAGACUCCUGCAUCCCCUGCCGCCCCGGCUUCUACUGUGAGCAGGCAGUGGUGGGAGACCCCCUGGCCUGCCCCCCACACACCUUCUGCCCCGCAGCCACCAUGGUUCCCCAGCCCUGUCCCGACGGCACCUUCACCCCCCCUGGCCAGGGGGGUCUGAGGGAGGAGAGGGAGUGCCUCUCCUGCCCCCCGGGGAGGUACUGCAGGGCUGGCCAGAUUAAAGGCGUGUGUGCGGCGGGGUACCUGUGUGUGUCGGGCAGCUCUGAGUUCACCCCUCUGGAGCGCGUCCUGGCCGAAGGGGAGGUGUGUGAGUGGGGGGUGCAGUGUGCCGGAGCGUGCCCAGCAGGGUUCUACUGUGAGGAGGGCACAGAACGGGCGAUGCCAUGCCCUGACAACACGGUGCGCAGCUCUCCUGGAGCCAGCAGCCUCAGCGACUGCCUGCCAUGCCCACCCACACACUGGUGCAGAGAGGGGGGCGCUGUUCUGCAUGCCUGCCCGGUGGGACACUACUGUGACGGCGUAGCUGACUAUGAGUCAGGGGGCAGACCAGGACCCAGGAAGUGCCCGGUGUUCACCUACAGACCCACUCCCUCAGCAGGAAGCAAAGGGGACUGCCACCCCUGCCCACCGGGGACAUUCUGCAACUCCACAGGUCUCAGUCAUUACUCUGGGCUUCUCUGCCCUCCCGGGUUCUGGUGCAGUGGGUCCAGUCCGCCGGUGCCGUGUCCUGCGGGCACCUUUAGGGCGCAGCCAGGGGCAGCUGACGUCACCCAGUGUGAACCCUGCGACCCCGGCACCUACUGCCCUGACCCCAGGGCCACGGGCGUGCCCAACACAGCGGGCAUCCCCUGCAGGGCGUCCUACCAGUGCCCGGCAGGUUCAGCUCAGGAGACCUUGUGUCUGGCUGGGUUCUACUGCGGACCCCAGACAGGGGAGCCGCCGCCGUGCCCCCUGGGAUACAUGUGCCCACAGGGCUCCCACACGCACAGCAGUCCACAGCAGCAGUGCUCUUUCCCGUUCUUCUGCCCAGUGGGGAGCUCUGCCAAGCUCGCCUGCCCAGGUGGUUUCAUGCCCGUGAACUCCACAGGCCUGCGGGCAUCUCUGGAGAGCUCCUGUGUGCCCUGUCAGGCUGGCACAUACCGCCCAGCACUCGCCUCCGUCCUGCAGUGCCAGCCCUGCCCGCCUGGGUACCACUGCCCCGCAGGAGCAGAGAGCCCCAGUAGUCACCCCUGUCCAGCUGGAUACUUUUGCCCCCCGGGGUCUGCCAGCCCGCUUCCUUGCCCACCUGGUUUCUACGGCAACCGCACCAACCUGGAGGCUGUCGAGGAAUGCCAGACGUGCCCGGCGAGCACCUUCAACCACCUGCCAGCACAGACGGCCUGCUUCCCCUGUGGCAGCUCAGCCACAUCGGUCCAAGGCUCCUCGAGCUGCAGCUGCAUUGGGAGGAAGAGGGCCUUCCAGCCGUCCGACGGCUCGUGUUUGUGUCAGACGGGCUUUGUGUUCUACAACCAGCUGGACUUCAAGAGCUCCAGCGCAGACAGCCGGCUGGACUGCCAACCUGAGGUGAGUAAGCGCUGUGGUGGGGGAGAGGUGCGUCUGGCCUCGUCUCAGGAGUGUGUGAAGCCCUCUGAGUACUCCUGUGAUGUCACGUGUGGACCUCACAGCGGGAGACUGGAUGUGGAGCUGGGGAUCUGCCACUGUGAGAGGUAUGUGUCAUCAGAGGAGCUGUGUGAUGCGCUCUGCACCUCCCAGCUGCCCCUCAUCUCUGCCAGACGCUCCGCAGACGGACAGCUGCUGCUGGGGGUCAAAGCCCAGGAGGACAGCCACAGCUGGAAUAGAAAACUGGGCAAUGUGGUGGGCCCUGACACUCACGUCCAGGACAUCGGGAAGAUUCACUUUGUGCAGUUUGACUCUGAUGGAGUGUUUGGCUGGAUUCUUAAAGAUCCCAAGCUGAUAGACAGAAUGCUUAAAGAGCCUGUAGAAACUCUUGGCACUAUUCCCAGAAGGAAGCGAUCAUAUGAUGAUGAUGAUGAUGAUGAUGAUUAUGAAGAUGAUGAUGUCAUAAAGACGUCACUGCUGGAUACUCCCCCUCGCAUCCCCAACCCUAUUGCAUGCCUGUCAUCCAAAGACAUGCUCAUAUUCCAGCUCAACAUCAACCACACAGAUCGCCUCCACAGCCACUUCCCAGUGUACCAGAAGGACCAUCUCUUCAACAGCAACCCUAGCUGGGACUAUGGAGCCUUCAGGCGGCUGGAAUACCUGAUGAGACACACACACUUUAACUCCUCCAGGUUUGCCCACGUGUUCCCUGAGUCGGGCACGUUCGUGUUUGCAGACAGCGCUGUGCCCGAGAGGAGCCUGGUGGUGGUGGUGAGCGAGGACGGCUCCUCCUGCGACCCCAACGCGCCCCCCUUCCAGCCCAGCUCCCCCGCCCAGCUGGUCCGACACGGAGUCGCCCCGCGGCCCCGCCUCAACCUGCUGCCCGACUGGGGGGCCAUCGCAGGUAUCCUGGUGACCCUGCUGGUCCUGGUGGCGGUCGUGACAGGCACAGCUCUGCUGCUGAAGCCCCACAGGAGUCACCUGGUCUCCCAGGGCAACCCCAAACCUCGCUGGCGCAGUCUGGGACACCCCCCCACUCCCCUGGAGUACGUCUACAACGGGGAGAGCCUGGACGCUCCCUCUGCGCUGGGCCUGAGAGGGGUGGGAGAAGGAGCAGAGGCUGAGGAGAAAGCCAUCUGGAGAGGAGGCUGUAAGAGUGUGAGUAUGGAUCUGGAGGAGUUUAAUGUGAAGACGCUGUACGAUAAGCUGGAGGACCAGAACCUGCACGUGGCGUCCCAGCUGGCCAAGUACCGCAAAGACACACAGGAGUUUUACCGCAACAUCUGCCAGCAGACAGACAGCCUGAAGGACACUCUUGAGAACAUGGGGCCUGAGAAGCUCAAUCAGCUGAAAGAGAUCAUGCAGCUGAACAGCAAGCAAAGCCACGCACUCUACGGUGGACUGAGCCAGUACGAGGGGGGAGUUAGCAAAGACUCUCUGCAAGUGAUGGAAGCCCUGCUACAGGCAGUGGAGGCCCUGCUCUACAGGCUGUGUGGAGAGAGCUGGCAGCAGAUGGAGACGGCCCCUUGCCUCAGAGACACACGCCAGGGCGAACUCCAGACGGGAUACACACCAUUUUCCUCCACUGCCAUGACGGAGCUGAAAACAGGCCGAGAGACGGAGCAGGCUGGCUCAGAGUCAGUGCCCACCCAGUGCAGUGGUGUGUGUGUGAGUGAUCAGGAGCUGUCCCGGCUGGUGGCUCUCACUCCUCUCUCACGGACCAUCCAGGAGAUCCAGGAGUCUCUGCGGAGCCUGCCCCGCCCACAGGAAGCAGUGACCGAGGAGGAGCCGCCCUCCUGCCCCGCCACGCCCCUCACGCCCCUGACGCCCCUCGCCCUGGACUCCCUCUCCCCCUGGCACUUCUCCGUCUUCCUGUUCGGCUGCCACCUCGUCCGCCUGCUCCGGGGCAUCCAGGGCUUCCCCCAGGUCCUGCUGCUCCUGGCUAAGAGCGUGCCCGCGGCAGCCGCCUCUCACACCGACGACAGCAUGGUGGCCUACUGCUGCGGGGACUUUUAUUAUGACACACGCAACCAGAUCCUCUACCUGCUGGAGUCCAGGCUGCAGGACGUGGGCCAGUGGGUCUCCGUGCUCCUGCACUCCAUGGCCUACGUCAGCGCCGGCCAGGAGGGAGCUCGGCCCAGAGAGUUCAUGGAGGCCUUCCACAAGGCCCUGUCAGUGCUGGGGCUAGAGCUGUUCACACACUCUUUCACUCAGGACCAGAGGAGUACAGAGGACGAGGGCACCAGGAGUUUUCGAGGGACAGUCGUCGAGGACUUCUUGAGUGUGAGAGUGUCCUCUGACACACAUCUCACACCACACCUGCUGCAGGAGAGGCUUCAGAAAUACAAGUACUUCAAGCUGGAGCAGGUUCUCCAUGACCUCAGUCCAGCGAGGCAGCCUGAAGGAGCAGUGAAGGGCCACGAGGCUCCUCCCACACAGGUAUUGUGUGUGGAGCAGGAGAUAAAGAGGCUUAAUGACGUGUACCUGCAGCUGGGCUCACAGCUUCUGAGCCAAUCACCUGGGGCACACACACACUGUCACACACAGUCUCUCUCCCAGGCACCUCCAGAGACGGCUGUGGCCCAGGAGAGGACCCUGCUUCUGAGUCUGCAGCAGCACACCGUAGCCAAGAGGCUGGAGGAGAUGAGAGAGAAGCUCUCCAGGAUCACACCCCAGAAAACACACACCCCGCAGAAAUCACUUCCUGCUCAACACACACCAACACACAGCACCCUCUUGACAGAGAGCCAGGCCCAGGCCCAGACACACACACACCAGCCAGAGGAGCUGAAAUCAGAGAGCAGCGUCUCCCAGCAGGACACAGCAAAGCCCAGCGUCUAACACACACACACACACAGCAAAGCCCAGCGUCUAACACACACAGCAAAGCCCAACAUCUAACACACACAGCGUCUAACACACACAGCGUCUAACACACACAGCAAAGCCCAGCGUCUAACACACACAGCAAAGCCCAGCGUCUGACACACACAGCAAAGCCCAGCGUCUAACACACACAGCGUCUAACACACACAGCGUCUAACACAUACAGCAAAGCC